CAGCCGCCACGGGAAUACGUAGGGAGCAAGCGUUAAUCGGAAUUACUGGGCGUAAAGCGUGCGCAGGCGGUUUUGUAAGUCUGAUGUGAAAUCCCCGGGCUCAACCUGGGAACUGCAUUGGAGACUGUAAGGCUAGAGUGUGUCAGAGGGGGGUAGAAUUCCACGUGUAGCAGUGAAAUGCGUAGUGAUGUGGAGGAACACCGAUGGCGAAGGCAGCCCCCUGGGCCAAUACUGACGCUCAUGCACGAAAGCGUGGGGAGCAAACAGGAUUAGAUACCCCUGUAGUCCCUGUCUCUUAUAC
rnacentral:rRNA from 1 species